rnacentral:lncRNA from 1 species
UGUUUCAUAGUCGUCUCUCACCUACUACUUUGUGGAUUUGGAAUCAUGUUGUUACGAGAAUGUGUCGGUGACGCGAGGAAUCGAAGCCAGCCGUCCAGGCUAGAAGCGAGCGUCGUCCACUCUGUGUCGGUGGUGCCUCGCCGUGUCGGUUACCUUGGCCGAAGUAGGUCGUGUCUACUGGCGACAGGCGUUGCAUUCAGGCAGCAGCAGCAGCAGCAGCGACUAGCCGGCAAGCAGGCAAACCAGUCUCAGGAUAGUGAGGAGCCGCGCGGUUUAGUCACAUUUCAUCACCUAUUCCAUAGGUACAUGUACGUAUCAUCCGUAUUAUCGUUGCGCAAGCGGAUUGCUAGUAAGAGGAAGUGGAGGAGAUGAGAAACAGUACCUGCGUACAUACACGUCUGUAGUAAACCGACGAACGUAAGAACAAGUCGGAGAACAGCCUGCCAAGGUUUCAUCUCUACAGGACGAGGGAAGAAAAAUGUUACAACGGUACCUAAUUGCUUCGGCUUUAGCGCCCUGCACGCCGUGACGGCGGGUGAGGGAGAAAGCACCAUUUUUACACUACACAACUCGCUCGCUGCCGACGAUGAGGGUAGGAUUGAGACCCCGCUCGUAAAGAAAUGGGGUGCGGGAUAAUUCUGCGCACGCCGUGGGGUGGGAAUCACCGUUGUUGAAUAAAGAGGAACGCCUGGGCUACGAGGGCUGUGCCAGAGGGAAAGUGGUGCCAAGUGCAGAGCACUGGGCCAUCGACUAUCCGAGGAAGCCUACGACCCCUCGACGACCAGCCUCGCUCGAUACGCCCCACGCGUGGCGUCGUCCUCGCCGCAACCCCGGCUGUGUGUUCGCAAGUUCGGCCCGCUGAAACUGGACGCGGAAGAAAAGCCGCAGUCGGUUUCGCCGUUUUUCUCGACUCUCAUCCUUCCUUCCCAAGUUGAGCUCGUUGAGGGUUACUCGUUAACCGUUUCUCUUUCUCUCUUCUUCUCUGUUUCGUCUCAUUGGAUUCGAUGUAUUCAGGUUGAGGUCGGACUCUGCAGUGACGGCCAAAUCGGUCGUAUCAUGUACCAGACUUACCUACACUUAUGCUUGUUUUUUCUUUCCUUUCUAUACCUGUCAUUAGCCUUAGGCAUAUCCACUGACCGAGCGCAGAUUCGGUACGAGCGAAUAAAAUUUUGAUAUACCGAUUGUCUGAUUUCCUUCGACGAUGCGCGGAGCGAGGAACAAUGACGUAAACUUUCUAGGCGUAACGAGAGCGAACCGCAAGCUCUCUGCGACGUCUGAAUUUUUAUGUACAUACACACACAUGUAUCCCAGGUGUAUAGGUACGUGCUGGAACGGAACGGGAUUAUUUGAGCGCAUUCGUUCGUUCAUUUCGUCAUCUCUCCACGCUUGACUGUGCGUCUGUGGUACACCGAAUGUCUAGCGAGGUGUCUGGUACACACGGUAAUCCUUGAAUGAAACGAAGACCUAUUUUUCAAAGAGAUCACACGAAUAAACAACAACGCUCUUCGGUGCUGAAGGAAUUUGAAAGUUGGCGUCGUUUAAAGCGACAUCUCCUCAAUUCACUCCCCUCACCGCAACCUCUAUUCUCCAUACCGCCAUUCCGUUGCGGACCAGCUCGAUCUUAUUUUUCGAUAUACGUCGAACGGAACGCUACCGUCCAUGCUUUCAGGGAUCGUAGCUACCACUACACAGGUUCGGGACGAGAUCCUCUUUCUCGAGAGAGAGUGAACAAAAAAGGAAAAAUAUUAUAGAUACGAAGGUUUCAAUGCGCCAAAUCUAUAUCUGCUUUCCAUUUUUUGCCGUCACGUAUACGUAAACCCAGGGCGUAUUGCACGUAGAAAGACGAUACAACGGAAAAUGGUCAGAAGGAAUGCUUACAGGUUUUUGUUGGUCGAUUCGCCGUGAAACUCCAAUCGAUGGUAUCAACAGAAAGAAAACUACAAAAUAACUAGAAUUAUACUAGUAG